AAGACUAUACUCUUAGGGAUCAUUUCUAUAGUUCUUUUCUAGAGAAAUGGGUUCUGGAGUGUUUGGUCUCACAAACCACAAGGAGGAUUUAUAGUGUUCUCCUCUGAGCAGGAAGUAGGCUUUGAGUGUUGCUUUUAAGCAGCUGCUCUUUGCCAUUGAUGAAUGUUCUGCCUCUUUUUUAUAGAGAGCUGGAUGAGGUGAAUGCAAUCUGAGUGGC